UACAGAGGUCUCAAGCGUUGUUCGGAUUCAUUGGGCGUAAAGGGUGCGUAGGUGGCGGGGUAAGUCUGGUGUGAAAGCUUCGAGCUCAACUCGGAAAAGCAUUGGAAACUAUCCCGCUGGAGGGUCGGAGGGGAGACUGGAAUUCUCGGUGUAGCAGUGAAAUGCGUAGAUAUCGAGAGGAACACCAGUGGCGAAGGCGAGUCUCUGGACGACUCCUGACACUGAGGCACGAAAGCUAGGGGAGCAAACGGG
rnacentral:rRNA from 1 species